GAUGAACGCUGGCGGCGUGCCUAAUACAUGCAAGUCGAGCGAACGGACGAGAAGCUUGCUUUUCUGAUGUUAGCGGCGGACGGGUGAGUAACACGUGGAUAACCUACCUAUAAGACUGGGAUAACUUCGGGAAACCGGAGCUAAUACCGGAUAAUAUUUUGAACCGCAUGGUUCAAAAGUGAAAGACGGUCUUGCUGUCACUUAUAGAUGGAUCCGCGCUGCAUUAGCUAGUUGGUAAGGUAACGGCUUACCAAGGCAACGAUGCAUAGCCGACCUGAGAGGGGGAUCGGCCACACUGGAACUGGGACACGGUCCAGACUCCUACGGGAGGCAGCAGUAGGGAAUCUUCCGCAAUGGGCGAAAGCCUGACGGAGCAACGCCGCGUGAGUGAUGAAGGUCUUCGGAUCGUAAAACUCUGUUAUUAGGGAAGAACAUAUGUGUAAGUAACUGUGCACAUCUUGACGGUACCUAAUCAGAAAGCCACGGCUAACUACGUG
rnacentral:rRNA from 1 species